UUUAAAUAUGAUGGAUACAGUAAUUACGUUUUCAGACCGUUAUAUCAUUUAUCUUUAUCAUUAUUUAUCCUGAUCAUUUUUCAACAUUUGCUCCCUAUAUUUGCUACCUAUACCCGUAUCGUAAUCAUUCAUCAUGCGUUAGUGCCGUUGUGUUGUUUAUCAGUAUUGUAAUGACUACCAAAUUAAUAUUUAAUGCUCAGUUAUGCUUAGGUAUGUUCAGUUAUAUAGUAACUUGGCCAUAAUUUAUUCCCUUCCGAGCAGAACACCUGUACAUUUAAUAUAAGAAAAAAAAACAGCAAUAUUUUAUUAAUUUUCACGAAAAAUGACAACAGUAUAAACAUCCGUAAUCUGAAAUAUAAUAAAAAACAUUGGAAUAUAAUAAUACAAAUUAUUCAAAAUAAGUGAAAUAAUGUAUUAUCUUUAUUUAUUAAAAAUUAGAAAAUUAGAAUUGAACUAAUCUCGUGCAAUCUAAUAAACUGGUUUUCUAUUAUUUUCAAAUUAGUAAAUCUGUAUCUGCUGUCUAGAGUGGACAGCCCCACUGCAAGUAUUCAUCUAGGGCCUAGGUAUUGUUUCGUGCGACAAUUAAUAAAUAGACAACCCCUUUUAGAUAAGAUGCUUAAAUGCUUAAACACAUUAUUGUCACAGUCACAGAUUUAUGACACUAUAAACAUUAUAGUACUAUACAUAAAUACCUACUAUAUGUACUAUGUAGGUAUAAUGCAAUAUACAAUAUACAAUAUUUGUAUAAAAUGUACAAAGAAUUAUCAAGCUAUAAUAAUAUAUCUAAUGUUCAAAAGUCAUGUGAAACACGUUGCAUUCCUCAAACAAGAUUCUGUCAAUAAAAUUAGAGGAAUAAUUCUUCCCCCCUCAACAAAGUUCUUCUUUUGGAUUUAUUAAAAAUCGCCAAAUGCGAAAAAAAUAUUUUACAAAAAACAUUGAUGACAUCAAAACAAAGAAGAUUAUGGACAGUCUACAAAAACAGAUGUUCUCAGGAGAAGUCACAGAACCCAGG